UACGGGGGGGUGCGAGCGUUGUCCGGAAUCACUGGGCGUAAAGGGCGCGUAGGUGGCCUGAUAAGGGUGUGGUGAAAGUCCGGGGGCUUAACCCCCGGAUCUGCCGUGCCGACUGUUAGGCUAGAGUGCUGUAGGGGCAGGCGGAAUUCCUGGUGUAGCGGUGAAAUGCGCAGAUAUCAGGAGGAACACCAGCGGCGAAGGCGCUGCUCUGGGCCGGUACUGACGCUGAGGAGCGAAAGCGUGGGGAGCGAACAGG
rnacentral:rRNA from 1 species